AUUGAACGCUGGCGGCAGGCCUAACACAUGCAAGUCGAGCGGAUGAAGGGAGCUUGCUCCUGGAUUCAGCGGCGGACGGGUGAGUAAUGCCUAGGAAUCUGCCUGUUAGUGGGGGAUAACGUCCGGAAACGGGCGCUAAUACCGCAUACGUCCUGAGGGAGAAAGUGGGGGAUCUUCGGACCUCACGCUCUCAGAUGAGCCUAGGUCGGAUUAGCUAGUUGGUGGGGUAAAGGCCUACCAAGGCGACGAUCCGUAACUGGUCUGAGAGGAUGAUCAGUCACACUGGAACUGAGACACGGUCCAGACUCCUACGGGAGGCAGCAGUGGGGAAUAUUGGACAAUGGGCGAAAGCCUGAUCCAGCCAUGCCGCGUGUGUGAAGAAGGUCUUCGGAUUGUAAAGCACUUUAAGUUGGGAGGAAGGGCAGUAAGUUAAUACCUUGCUGUUUUGACGUUACCAACAGAAUAAGCACCGGCUAACUUCGUG
rnacentral:rRNA from 1 species